rnacentral:rRNA from 1 species
GACGAACGCUGGCGACGUGCUUAACACAUGCAAGUCGAACGGAAAGGCCUCUUUCGGGGGGUACUCGAGUGGCGAACGGGUGAGUAACACGUGAGUAACCUGCCCUUCACUUUGGGAUAACUUCAGGAAACUGGGGCUAAUACCGGAUAGGAGCUCCUGCUGCAUGGUGGGGGUUGGAAAGUUUCGGCGGUUGGGGAUGGACUCGCGGCUUAUCAGCUUGUUGGUGGGGUAGUGGCUUACCAAGGCCUUGACGGGUAGCCGGCCUGAGAGGGUGAGCGGCCACAUUGGGACUGAGAUACGGCCCAGACUCCUACGGGGGGCAGCAGUGGGGAAUAUUGCACAAUGGGUGGAAGCCUGAUGCAGCAACGCCGUGGGCGGGAUGACGGCCUUCGGGUUGUAAACCGCUUUCGCUCAUGACGAAGCUUUGUGUGACGGUAGUGGGUAAAGAAGCACCGGCUAACUACGUG